rnacentral:lncRNA from 1 species
UUUGAAACUGAUAUCACUUGAAAAACCUACAGUUUUAUAUAUUUACACAUCACAUGCAAAAAACCGGGAUGCGGUUUUCAGUACGUAGGUGAAACUUGGAGAUAUUUAUCUAAACGCACACAAGAACACCUUAGUCGUUCUAAAAGAUCCCAUACAUUCAAAAGUAUCAUCAAUCAAGAAGCACAAUCAUCCUUUUUUUGAAUAUUUAACACUCCUACCUUGAGCAAUAGUUAAUAAGCAGCCUGGGGAAUUUCAUUCAAAAUUUGUACAAAAAUAAAAAAUAAUUGAAUGAAUUUGGAUUAAAGAAUUAAAAACAGUCUAUCAUCUCUGUCUUAAUGACAAAAUCAUCGGAAUUGGUAAUAUAUCUAGAACAGAUUCUGUUAACAUUUUGGAUAUAGUAUCUAAAACAGUUGGUUAGAACCCGGAUCAUGGACGUAGAAUAAAUCGCAAUAAAAGAAAAUUUCAUAAGAAUACAAAUAUAUCGGACCUAAUUUUUAUUAAAAAAAAAAGGUAUGCAUUAUCAAUUAACCAAGCUCUGUUCUUUGCCUGUUAAUGAAUUACAUCAACUUUUGGAGGAAUGCAACACAAUUCUAUAAUACAGUUCUAAGUAUAAAUUGUGCAAAUUUUAAUGGCUUAAUGUUCUUCUAAACUGUUUCCCAAAAUUGAUUGCACUGAAGAACAUAAAAAAACAUGAUUUUAAAAUAAAUAUUUCAAUAAAGGGUUUGAUUUUGUAAAUAUUGUCGUUCUUGUUAUGAUCAUUAUCUUAAAGAACAAAUUUCUGGCUAAUUUGAUAAUAUUGAACUCCCUCUUAUUUGUAACAAUUACAAACAAAUAUACACGGAAAUAUGUGUUUAAUUACAGCGAACUGUCUACAAAUAUUUUUUGUUUGUAAUGUGUUUAUUGGCAAAGAAAUACAUAUAUAAUAACAAUCUACAAAUAUUAGUAUCAGGGACAAUACCGACAUUCAUUAAAAUUGCAGUAAUUCCGAUUACAUUUAUGCCCCCAGUUCCCCGUCAAUUAUUAAUUGGAAGGAAUGUCAUAACAUCAUCCCCGACUCACUCCCUACUGUCUGCUCUAAAUGAUUAAUACGCGAAAAAGCUGACAAGAAAUCAUUAUUUUUUUUUAAUUCGCCUAUGAACAUAGUUGAUAUGCGUAUGCAACAUUUCAAAGAUCAUUUUACUCCUAACAACAACCAUAAUAGCCCAGUUUCUCGAAUCUCUUCGGUAACAAACAUAAACAUUUAUGUACCCUUUUACAAGCAUGUACUGGCUUUCGAAGCUGCAAACAACUCAUUACCGAAAAGAUUUAUAUCGUCUCAUUGCUAUUGUUCCGUUACUAAACUAUAUAUUCUACCUACUAGUACACUUGGUAGAAUACAAAACCUGGUAAAACAUUGUUCAAAUCAGGCCUUUGAAAAUUGGGGAGCAAAUUACUUUCGAAGUGUCAAAAAUAAGUUAAAAGAGUAUGAUAAAUUUCAUCGAGACUCUGAUCAAAGUUUUUAUUUUUUACCUUAUAUACCAGUUUGCCCUAAUUGUUAAUAAGAACAUUCACACCCUUGAUUGAAUCAGCAUUUAAAAAGUUGGAAUCUGAAUAUAUGUCCAAACUCUUUAGGUUGUUUUUUAACAACAAACAAAAGAACUGUGUCAGUAGGACUUGCUUUUAUUCUGUGUGUGUUACAUUUUAAGGUUGUGUCGUCAUUCUCCUCUUGUACUUAAUGCGCUUCCCUUGGGUUCGGUUUGUGACCCGGAUUUGGUUUUUUUUCUAUCGAUUUAUGAGUUUUGAACAUCGGUAUACUACUGUUGCCUUUAUUUAUACUAUAACUUCUCUUGAAUUUUUACGACAUAACUUCUUUGUUCGCUAUGCAGAUAUCGUAAGAGAUAUCGUGGCACCAAAUCGCCUUGCCCUAUGUCCGACGCGCUAGACUACUUGACAACUUAGACACUAUAUAUACAUAUAAUUCUAGACACUAUAUAUACAUAUAAUUCAACUAUAAAACAGCACAACAAUGUUAAGUUUUUGUUUUUCACUGGCCAGGAUUCGAACUCAUCCCACUGAGAUAUUGUGGCACCAAAUCGCAUUACACUGUGCCCAACGUGUAAGAUCACUCGACCACCUAGACUCUACAUAUAAAUUGACUAAAUAAUAGCCAGUGAUAAUUCGUACCGUGCGAUGGGUCAUAUAUUUAUGAUACAGUACACUAAAAAAUAUAAUACA